AGAGGAUGGGGAGCACACCCGAGCCUGAGACAACAGCUCUGCUAAGUGCCCUUGAGAGGGCACGGUGGGGUCAGCACCAAAGUCAGACCACUAAAGAGAAAAAGAGAGAAAGACAGGAUUGCAGAGGAGAAAUGAGAAUGGCAGAAAAAAUAAUUUUUUAAGCCAAAAGGAAUCAGAGAAGAGCAGAAGUGCCUCUAGGAUAAAGCGUAGCAGGCAGUUAGGGAAAAAGGGCUGUUAACUACCUUGAAGCUCUGACUACAUUAGAAAGCCUCGCAAGACAGUCGUUGCUUGCACGGGCAGGGGUGGUUGGCAAUAAGGAUGGGUGGGAGAGAAAAAAAAACAGAAUUUGAGGAGGAGAGCAUUUAAACCAUCAGACUGUGUGUUCUGUGACAUCAAAGACUGGCAACAUUCUAAAGGAAAAGCAGCUGUGAAGUCAUAAUUAUGUUCACUUCCCACUGGCAACUGGCAAGCCCUUUAUUUUUGUGCAUUCGGAACUCACCAAGAAUAAAUAAAGUCCAUUCCCUCCUUGAGGGGCUAUUCUGCCAUUCCAUCUAGGAUUUAAAAGUUUGCCAAUUCCUAAAACAUCUAUUGUUAUCAAUAGUCUUGUGUCUUUCACAAAGCGGACUUUACAAAAUAAGGAAGCUUCUGCUCAGAAAAUGUGAAAGAAAUAAUCUAUCUCAAGACCUUGCUGUUCUUGACCGUUCAAAAAUUCUUUAAAUAAAAUAUAAUAUGGAAGCUGUGCUCUGCAUGUUGAGACCAUUUCACUGUUGAGCCUUCCCAGCCAGAAAACAGGCUCAAAAUAAUUAGACUUGAACAAAACCACAUUAUUUACUUUUUGCUUUAAUAAGGAGGUGAUUAUUAGAAGAUGAACCAUGACUACCAAGAUAGCAGAUGCCAUGUCCAGCCAAAUAAAUGAGACUGAACUUCAUGGUUGUUGUUUUUACUUCAUCCCGGUCAAAAGAAAUGAAAUUAAAUAUAAAAAGCAGAUCACCAAAUAAAGUCCAAAUGAAUUAA
rnacentral:sRNA from 1 species